UGGAAGAGCCUUAUCCUGGAUUCACCUGGGAUUGUGACUACAAUUAUCUGAAGGCUUCUGUGUGUCUGGAGGAUCCAAGUUGUCCUCACUCAGAUGUGGGGCAGUUGGUGCUGGAUAUCAGCUGAUUCUCCUCAGUUCUCCUCCACCUGAUCACCCGUCCUCUGGUGAUGUCAAGAAUUGAUUCCUCCUGUAGCAUCCUGUGAAAAGAGAAUUUCACAACUUUAACUUAAAAAUCAAUGAGAAGAUUCAUUUGUGCUGUCACAGGUAGAUACAGGAGGCAUAAUCCAGACUUGAUUACAAGGAUGGCCUAUGGAGAGAGAGGAGUGGACUUGGAAUCCUGGCUCCACCGGUGAUUGGCUUUGUGCCCUUGGAAGAGCCCUCAGUGUAGAGCUUUGCUGGAGGAUAACUUGGAAGAAUCAUAUAUUGAGGAGCUCCCAUGUCUGGAUCUUUAGUCAUUAUUAAUUACACAAUCUUCAGGAAGUUGUCUUCAAUCUCAUCCUGAGG